rnacentral:rRNA from 1 species
UUCGCAAUGCCCGAAAGGGUGACGACGCGACGCCGCGUGAGCGAAGAAGGCCCUAGGGUUGUAAAGCUCUGUCGAGGGUUAUGAAAUAUAGAUGGGUUAAUACCCCAUUUAUUUGACAAAAGCCCAAAAGGAAGCCACGGCUAACUCUGUGCCAGCAGCCGCGGUAAUACAGAGGUGGCGAGCGUUGUUCGGUAUUAUUGGGCGUAAAGAGCACGUAGGUGGUUUUGUAAGUCAGGUGUGAAAGCCUUCUGUUCAAAGGAAGAACGGCAUCUGAAACUGCAGAUCUUGAGUGUAGGAGGGGAGAGUGGAACUUCUGGUGGGGCGGUGAAAUGCGUAGAUAUCAGAAGGAACGUCGGCGGCGAAAGCGACUCUCUGGCCUAUUACUGACACUGAGGUGCGAAAGUUAGGGGAGCAAACGGGGUUAGAUACCCCGGUAGUCCUAACCGUAAACGAUGGGCACUAAGUAGAGGGGUUUU